CUGGCCUCUGCUGGAAGCAGUACAUUGCAGUCACCAACACUGAAGCCCCACUGCUCAGGGUGCAGUGAUGGAAUCUCACUAUGUGGAAGAGGAUGGUCUCAAACUCUUGGCCUCAAGCAAUCCUCGUGCCUCAGCCUCCCAAAGUAUUAGUUAUUAUAGGCAUGAGUCACCACACCUGGCACCUAAGAACGUAUGUUUUUGGAAAUUCCUCCCAUCUCUGUCUGCAGAAAUAAAGUUAUAAAUUUGUCCAUGGCUUGAGA
rnacentral:lncRNA from 1 species